rnacentral:rRNA from 1 species
UACGUAGGUCCCGAGCGUUGUCCGGAUUUAUUGGGCGUAAAGCGAGCGCAGGUGGUUUAUUAAGUCUGGUGUAAAAGGCAGUGGCUCAACCAUUGUAUGCAUUGGAAACUGGUAGACUUGAGUGCAGGAGAAGAGAGUGAAAUUCCAUGUGUAGCGGUGAAAUGCGUAGAUAUAUGGAGGAACACCGGUGGCGAAAGCGGCUCUCUGGCCUGUAACUGACACUGAGGCUCGAAAGCGUGGGGAGCAAACAGG